rnacentral:lncRNA from 1 species
AGUGACUUGAGGGGGGCAGGUGAGGUGGCCAUGAACAUACCCUGUUAAUGGCCACAAGCCCUGCUUUCUCCUGUGUGCACCGGGCAUUAACAGUGAUGUCUGUGCCCUCUCUCCUGCAGGGGACAAGUGCUGCUCCUGGGGCUGGAAUGAACAUGGCAUGUGUGGGGACGGCACCGAGUCCAAUGUCUGGACUCCAACUCCAGUGCAGGCCCUGCCGUCACCAUCAAGACUCCUCCUCGUGGGCUGUGGGGCGGGCCACUCCUUGGCCUUAUGUCAGCUGCCGGCACACCCUGCACCAUGCCAGGAUCUCACGGUUACCUGCCCACUCCCAGAUGCCACAGAGACCACUGAAUCUCAGGGUGCCGUGGACAGAGAGAGACAGGAAGGAGAGACCAUUGGUGACUUCAACCCAAAGCCAUUCUGACCUGACGAGAAGUUGGGGGUGGGGAGGCAUGAAAGAGACCAUUCAAUAAAGUGGCUUAUUCCAACAGAAG